rnacentral:lncRNA from 1 species
UGCGGCUGGAAAGAGCAUCAUCGGAGUUCUAGAAUCUGACGAUCAGACGGACCACUUGGGCCAGUCGCCCUGUCUUUCUUGAAAAGGGGAAGCAAAAGGUGGAGAGCUCUCCAUCCGAUCAUGAUUCUACCCCCGGAGGGUCCCUACCUCCGUUCUACCAGAAGACCCUCGAGACUCGCAGUCGAGAGGACCUCCUGGAUCAAAGAUUCCAGGAGAUGAACCAACGGAUCGAAGAGCUCCGUCAUGCUCCCACUGCUUACGGUG